rnacentral:rRNA from 1 species
CAGGAUGAACGCUGGCGGCGUGCCUAAUACAUGCAAGUCGAGCGAACAGAUGAGAAGCUUGCUUCUCUGAUGUUAGCGGCGGACGGGUGAGUAACACGUGGGUAACCUACCUAUAAGACUGGGAUAACUCCGGGAAACCGGGGCUAAUACCUGAUAAUAUUUUGAACCGCAUGGUUCAAUAGUGAAAGACGGCUUCGGCUGUCACUUAUAGAUGGACCCGCGCCGUAUUAGCUAGUUGGUAAGGUAAUGGCUUACCAAGGCAACGAUACGUAGCCGACCUGAGAGGGUGAUCGGCCACACUGGAACUGAGACACGGUCCAGACUCCUACGGGAGGCAGCAGUAGGGAAUCUUCCGCAAUGGGCGAAAGCCUGACGGAGCAACGCCGCGUGAGUGAUGAAGGUCUUAGGAUCGUAAAACUCUGUUGUUAGGGAAGAACAAAUUUGUUAGUAACUGAACAAGUCUGACGGUAC